rnacentral:rRNA from 1 species
UACGGAGGGGGCUAGCGUUGUUCGGAAUUACUGGGCGUAAAGCGCACGUAGGCGGACUGCUAAGUCGGGGGUGAAAUCCUGAGGCUCAACCUCAGAAUUGCCUUCGAUACUGGCGGUCUCGAGUGCGGGAGAGGUGAGUGGAAUUCCCAGUGUAGAGGUGAAAUUCGUAGAUAUUGGGAAGAACACCAGUGGCGAAGGCGGCUCACUGGCCCGCAACUGACGCUGAGGUGCGAAAGCGUGGGGAGCAAACAGGAUUAGAAACCCCCGUAGUCC